UGGAACUCAUGAACUCAAGAGAUCGUCCCACCUCAGCUUCUCAAAGUGCUAGGAUUACAGGUGUGAGCCACGGCGCUUGGUCUGCCCAAUUCUAGAACCGCAAUAAAGUCAGCUCAAAGGACCUGGCAUAAAAAUAUUAACUUGUAAUAAAAGUGUUUAGUAGCACUAAUAUGUGAUGGCAAUUUCAGGAAUGUCAAUGUUCUGAGCAAGAAGAACAAGGAACAGAAGGUAUAAUGAUAACAGAUGACAGAGGAAAAAGCAGACUCAAUCAACUCCUACUUUUCCAUCAUUUUUCCAUUACAGAGAAUUAUCCUCAAAUUAGAAAGAGUAGGACCUACGUGGUAAAGAAAAAAUUUACGUGCCAGGCAGAUGAGGAAGUAAGACAGCAUCCAGCCCCUUCACACAACUUCAUUCUCUGUCUUACUGAAACAAUGUGAAAUGUGGUGGCAACUUUACUGGGGACAGGAGAGGUGCCAGAAGUUUGAAGAUGGACUAAUGUCCUCGUUUUCUAAAAGAAGAACCUAUAAGUCUCUGAGCACAUUUCUCCUUGGCAAAAUUCUGGAAUGCAUAAUUAGACAAAUGGUUUGUGAAUCUUUAGAAAAGUGGCAAAAACAAGGCACAGCAUAAAUUCACUGAAAAAUAAGUGGACCUAAA